UACGGGGGGGGCAAGCGUUGUUCGGAAUUACUGGGCGUAAAGGGCUCGUAGGCGGCCAACUAAGUCAUACGUGAAAUCCCUCGGCUUAACCGGGGAACUGCGUCUGAUACUGGAUGGCUUGAGAUUGGGAGAGGGAUGCGGAAUUCCAGGUGUAGCGGUGAAAUGCGUAGAUAUCUGGAGGAACACCGGUGGCGAAGGCGGCAUCCUGGACCAACACUGACGCUGAGACACGAAAGCGUGGGGAGCAAACGGG
rnacentral:rRNA from 1 species